AAAGAAAAGCAAAUUACUCUUCGAUUGAGUGAUAAAUUUUAUUAUUUGUAUGUUUAUAUUCCAUGGUCUUGCUGGCCGAUAUUGUAGAUAAUUGAGUUACAGCUGCCUUCAUUUUUCAACAACUUUGAUCCUCGUGCUGCUGCUGCUGCUAAUUUCCCUUCAGGUGUGCAAUCAUAUUUGGCUGGGCUUACAUUCGCAUUAGUUGCUUCACCUUGCAGCACUCCUGUGUUGGCAACCCUGCUUGGAUACAUAGCUGAAUCUAAGGACGGUGUUAAUAUCUUGGCUGUUAAUUAUGGUUCUCCUGGUGCAUGUCCAUAUCCUCGGCAAUUGAAACUUGUAAGUUUGGGCCAACAUUUUUUUACUCUCUCUCUCUCUGUCUCAUGGGUUAUUGUGAUUGCAAUUUUACUGCAUUUGUUGAGAAAGAAUGCAGAAGCUACAUUAGAUGUCUUUUUUCUGAUCUCUUUAGGCUGCUGCAGUCAACACUUCUCCAAGAGGGAAGAAGCUGACCCAAUUAGCCAAACUCAAGUGUUUGGAAUCGGUUUCAGGGCUACCCUACUGGGGGCUUAUAUCCCCUUAAUAAGCUUGUUCUUAGAAAAUAUGGUAUCUAACAAAUUUUAAUCUUGGGAAUGAUUAGAUUUUUAACUUUUCAAUUUUGAUUGUGAGGUGUUGUGGCUCAACAUGAUGUUUUAAUUUGUUAUGAAUUCAUUUGUUUCAACGAUGUACAAGAAAAAAAUUCAUAUUUUUCAGCUCUAAAGCGAAUUAUAUCAAAUCAAUGGAGUAGAUAGGUCAGGAGGGUCAGGCUUUGGUUGGCCAAUUAUAGUGGUCCUUGGGUUCUGUAUCAAACCUUCUAACAUGACUGAUAAAUUGGUCAGGUUUUGGUUAACAUUAUGGUUCUUACAAAGAUUUCUCAGCCUUACAAAACCCACUUGGAGCCUCUGUUGCGAUGAGCAUCCAGUUUUUAUUGUUCUCCAUGCUGUAUGAAUAUUAUUUGAGCAUGUUUGACCCAAUUUUAAUUGAGCUUGGUCUGAUCUAAUUUUGGAGUUUUUAUGGCAGCAUGAACUGCAUGGCACGGAGUGGUGCUUGCUUGAGUCUUAACACUUUUUUGGCAAAUUGACAGUAUCAUUUCUCAAUUACCACUUAGCUUGCUUUCAUAUAUUAGAUUAUAACUUCUGUUUUUCAAUUACAUUUGGAACAGGGAAUAUAUGGUUAUCCAAUUGAGAUCCAGGCCCUUUUCUUUUUUGCACUGAGGUGUGCACAACAAAUGUUAAAACCAGAGGGUGGUGGCAAGGAAUUGAUUGAGCGGAUUGACAAGAGGAUUACAGCCCUGAGCUUCCACAUACAAAAUUACUACUGGCUUGAUUUCACUCAAUUGAAUAUUGAAUUUGAACAUGUACAGUUUAAUUAUUCUUUGUAAAAUAUUGAAUUUGAUGGCUUGAUCAAUUUUUAUUUUUAUUUUCUGUUAUGAUGUUUUUGUGAAUGGAAUGUAAAUAAUCAGCUCUUAGU